rnacentral:rRNA from 1 species
CAGGAAGCAGCUUGCUGCUUCGCUGACGAGUGGCGGACGGGUGAGUAAUGUCUGGGAAACUGCCUGAUGGAGGGGGAUAACUACUGGAAACGGUGGCUAAUACCGCAUAACGUCGCAAGACCAAAGAGGGGGACCUUCGGGCCUCUUGCCAUCAGAUGUGCCCAGAUGGGAUUAGCUAGUUGGUGAGGUAACGGCUCACCAAGGCGACGAUCCCUAGCUGGUCUGAGAGGAUGACCAGCCACACUGGAACUGAGACACGGUCCAGACUCCUACGGGAGGCAGCAGUGGGGAAUAUUGCACAAUGGGCGCAAGCCUGAUGCAGCCAUGC